rnacentral:snRNA from 1 species
GUGCUUGCUUUGGCAGCACAUAUACUAACAUUGGAAAAAUACAGAGAUUAACAUAGCCCCUGUGCAAGGAUGACACACAAAUUUGUGAAGCGUUCCAUAUUUUU